UAGACGGAGCUAGUUGCAGACCACG
rnacentral:misc_RNA from 1 species